rnacentral:rRNA from 1 species
UACGGAGGAUCCAAGCAUUAUCCGGAAUCAUUGGGUUUAAAGGGUCCGUAGGCGGUUUAAUAAGUCAGUGGUGAAAGCCCAUCGCUCAACGGUGGAACGGCCAUUGAUACUGUUAAACUUGAAUUAUUAGGAAGUAACUAGAAUAUGUAGUGUAGCGGUGAAAUGCUUAGAGAUUACAUGGAAUACCAAUUGCGAAGGCAGGUUACUACUAAUGGAUUGACGCUGAUGGACGAAAGCGUGGGUAGCGAACAGG